AAUGAAGUUUGGCAGGGUAGAAAUGGUGCUCGACAAGAUGAAGCGACGUGUUGAGUAUGCAUGGAAGCAUAUUAGUUAGUAAACUGUUGCCUAUCUACAAUGCCGCCAAGGAAAAA